UACGGAGGGGGCUAGCGUUGUUCGGAAUUACUGGGCGUAAAAGCGCACGUAGGCGGCUUUGUAAGUUAGAGGUGAAAGCCCAGGGCUUAACCCUGGAAUUGCCUUUAAGACUGCAUCGCUAGAAUCGUGGAGGAGGUGAGUGGAAUUCCGAGUGUAGAGGUAGAAAUUCGUAGAUAUUCGGAAGAAACACCAGUGGCGAAGGCGACUCACUGGACACGUAUUGACGACUGAGGUGCGAAAGCGUGGGGAGCCAAACAGG
rnacentral:rRNA from 1 species